rnacentral:tRNA from 2 species
UAGAAUAUGGUGUAUUGUGGGAAGCACAGAGAAUUUUGAGUUCUCAGGUAUGGGUUCGACUCCUGUAUUUCUAG